GGCCCAAGGUAGAAUAGAGAAGGCGUCCUGGGAAUGAAGUCCCCAUCAGCAAUGAUUGUUGGAUGCUUCUCCUUUGAGACGGCAGCGGCGUCUCGAUCACAGUCCUCACAAUACGACAAAAGAAUGCCCGGCAUCGGAGCCAGAAGCUGAAAACCAUUCUUAAGCCAA
rnacentral:sRNA from 1 species